rnacentral:rRNA from 1 species
UACGUAGGGUGCAGCGUUGUCCGGAAUUAUUGGGCGUAAAGAGCUCGUAGGCGGUUUGUCGCGUCUGCUGUGAAAACUCGGGGCUUAACUCCGGGCUUGCAGUGGGUACGGGCAGACUAGAGUGCGGUAGGGGAGACUGGAAUUCCUGGUGUAGCGGUGAAAUGCGCAGAUAUCAGGAGGAACACCGGUGGCGAAGGCGGGUCUCUGGGCCGUAACUGACGCUGAGGAGCGAAAGCAUGGGGGAGCGAACAGGA